AUUCCAGCUCCAAUAGCGUAUACUAAAGUUGUUGCAGUUAAAAAGCUCGUAGUUGAAUUUCUGGUCGUGGCGACCGGUUCGCCCCUCACGGGGUGUGCACCUGGUCUCUGCGUCCAUCCUCGGGGAGAGCGCGUCUGGCAUUCAGUUGUCGGGCGCGGGAUCCUCGUCAUUUACUGUGAGCAAAAUAGAGUGUUCAAAGCAGGCUUACGCCGUUGAAUCUUUUAGCAUGGAAUAAUAAGAUAGGAUCUUGAUACUAUUUUGUUGGUUUGCGUGUCGAGAUAAUGAUGAAUAGGGACAGUUGGGGGUAUUUGUAUUCCAUAGUCAGAGGUGAAAUUCUUGGAUUUAUGGAAGACAAACUAAUGCGAAAGCAUCUACCAAGGAUGUUUUCAUUA
rnacentral:rRNA from 1 species